AUUCUGGACAAUGGGGGGAACCCUGAUCCAGCCAUCCCGCCCGUGCGAUGAAGGCCUUCGGGUUGUAAAGCACUUUUGGCAAGGACGACAAGCCUCUGGUUAAUACCCGGCGCUGCUGACGGUACCUUCACAACAAGCACCGGCUCACUACGUGCCAGCAGCCGCGGUAAUACGUAGGGUGCAAGCGUUAAUCGGAAUUACUGGGCGUAAAGCGUGCGCAGGCGGUUUGGCAAGAAGGAUGUGAAAUCCCAGGGCUUAACCUUGGAACUGCAUUCUUAACUGCCAGGCUAGAGUAUGUCAGAGGGGGGUAGAAUUCCGCGUGUAGCAGUGAAAUGCGUAGAGAUGCGGAGGAAUACCGAUGGCGAAGGCAGCCCCCUGGGAUAAUACUGACGCUCAUGCACGAAAGCGUGGGGAGCAAAC
rnacentral:rRNA from 1 species